ensembl:snRNA
GUAUUGUAUGAAAGAGAGGUCAGAAAAGGAUGAGAAGGUCCUAGUGACCAAUACAAUACAUUUAUGGUUGAGAUAUUGCUGUGCACUUUGUGGCAUCUAAUCAUGAUAUUCC